AAAACUGUUCUUAAGUCUGGAUGAAAGCCAGAACAACCAGACUUAAAAACAGUUUUU
rnacentral:pre_miRNA from 1 species